UAAAUAGCUAAAGACAACCAUCAAGGCAUUUUUUUUCCCAAAAGGCACAGAAGGAGAAUCAAUCAUCAAAUGAGAGGCCACCUCUGCAUAUUGGCCCUUAUCCUUUGAAAGAUAAUAAAAACAACAGCUGCUAUUGUUUUAGCCAAGAAAGGGCCACUGGACCAGGUCCAGGAGGAACAGAAAAGAGUGACGGCAACUGCUGAUUCAAGAAAAUUGUUCUGUUUCAGUUUUUAUUUUAUUUUGGAUGUACUCCUUCUCCACAAUGAGUUUCUCAAACAUGCAUCUAAUGAAAGCCGCCUGUUCUCAACCCUCCUAGAACUUCAAGAUGCGCAAACUUACAAGGAAAGCAAGGAUGAGCGCUAAUAUGUACUGUAUUCAUGUGAAUACAAGAUUUUUUUUUAAUAAGAAAAUCAAACUCUAAAAAUACAAUAUACUUCAUAAUUACAGAUUGAAAAAUGGGCCCCUGUGUCCUAGGCAGCUGCCCACUGCUGGGGCCAGGGUACACUGCCAUCCUAGGAAGAGAGUGAGGAGGAGGGUGAAAAAACUCACCCAGGAAAGGCAGUGAGGGGUGGUGAGGGAGCACAAAGAAAGUCACUUCAAAUCUCUCUCUAGCCAGAACUAUAUUGUUUUUCUGCACAAAAAUAUUUUCUUGUGGCCCCUUUAUAGACUAGCUUGUAAAAACACUGCAAAGUGCUACGAUUCGAAGGGUUCUGGAACUGAAGACAAAUCUUUAAAAGUUAGAUACCAAA